GUUUGUGUGUGGGCAUAUGCUGAGUGUGGCCUCCUGGUUUCCCUAUCCCAGUCAACCUGAGCACCUGCAGCUGAUCUACUAAUCAACUCUACAAGCCAUAGCAGUAUAAAGCCCGGUUCAUCUCUCCAGACUCUGCUAUAUUGUUCAGUCACCAAUGCGAUACGGACGCUAUGGCCAAGCUUCUUGUUCAUCACUCCAGCUCCCAUUACACCUGCCACGUGUGCCUCAUCCUCACCUGUUACUUGGCAGUUUGGAUUGUGGAUCCCCUAAUUGCUCUGCUCUGCCCUUCCUUGAACCUCUCUGCCUGCUUCAGUCCUUCACUCUGCACUGCUAUCUACUCCACUCUUCCAUUCCCAGCCCUUUUGCCACAUCCAAAACCAAAGAAUACUCAGCCAAGCCAUCAUAUCCAUGUUCAACUCAAGCUACAAUAAACUGCCCUUAACCAUC